GACGAACGCUGGCGGCGUGCUUAACACAUGCAAGUCGAACGGAAAGGCCCCUUUGGGGGUACUCGAGUGGCGAACGGGUUAGUAACACGUGAGUAACCUGCCCCUGACUUCGGGAUAACUUCAGGAAACUGGGGCUAAUACCGGAUAGGAAUCCUUGCUGCAUGGUGGGGGUUGGAAAGCUUCGGCGGUUUUGGAUGGACUCGCGGCUUAUCAGCUUGUUGGUGGGGUAGUGGCUUACCAAGGCUUUGACGGGUAGCCGGCCUGAGAGGGCGACCGGCCACAUUGGGACUGAGAUACGGCCCAGACUCCUACGGGAGGCAGCAGUGGGGAAUAUUGCACAAUGGGCGGAAGCCUGAUGCAGCACCGCCGCGUGCGGGAUGACGGCCUUCGGGUUGUAAACCGAUUUCAGCAGGGGCGAAGCUUGUGGUGACGGUACCUGCAGAAGAAGCACCGGCUAACUACGUG
rnacentral:rRNA from 1 species